rnacentral:rRNA from 1 species
GAUGAACGCUGGCGGCGUGCUUAACACAUGCAAGUCGAACGGAAAGGCUCCUGCUUGCAGGGGUACUCGAGUGGCGAACGGGUGAGUAACACGUGGGUGAUCUGCCCUGCACUUCGGGAUAAGCCUGGGAAACUGGGUCUAAUACCGGAUAGGACCACAUUUUGGAUGGUGUGGUGGAAAGUUUUUCGGUGUGGGAUGAGCUCGCGGCCUAUCAGCUUGUUGGUGGGGUAAUGGCCUACCAAGGCGUCGACGGGUAGCCGGCCUGAGAGGGUGUACGGCCACAUUGGGACUGAGAUACGGCCCAGACUCCUACGGGAGGCAGCAGUGGGGAAUAUUGCACAAUGGGCGCAAGCCUGAUGCAGCGACGCCGCGUGGGGGAUGACGGCCUUCGGGUUGUAAACUCCUUUCGCUAGGGACGAAGCGCAAGUGACGGUACCUGGAGAAGAAGCACCGGCUAACUACGAG